UUCCUUCCUUCCUCCUUUUCUUUCUUCCUCUCUUCCUACUAAUUCUCAAAAUCAUAGAAUCUGAGAAUUAGAAGAGACAUCAGCAACUGCCUGGCCCAGAUCUCAAGUAAAAGGAAUCCCUACAACGAUAUACCCAACAAAUGGUUGCCCAGUCUUUUUAGAUCUCUAUGGAAGGGGAACCAAACAGUUCUUAAGGCUUUGAGACAACUCCAGCCAGCCUUUAGGUAGCUUCUUCUGACCACAAACCUAGAUCAAGCUUCUUGCAUCUUCCACUCAUUGUUAUUAGUCCUGGCUUCUGGGGAUAAAAGGGAUAAAUCAAAUCCCUCAACAACAUAACAGACCUUGAAAUACUGAAAGUUAGUUAUCAUGUCCCUGAGUCUUCUCUUCUCCAGGCUAAAAUUCCCCAAUCUUCAGUUAGCAUGAGUGAAGAAAGAUGAUUGGCCCUAGUCAAUUCUUGGGACCCAUCAAUUUGAGCAGUUGAUGAUUCUUUUCUGUCUGUUGAGAGGCAAUAUGAUAUAAUAGACAGAACAUUGGUUGAGGGGUUAUGAUCUGGGGACUGAGUUCUAUUCCUUGUUCUAUUGCUUUUUGACCAGGUGACCUUUGUCUCCUCAUUAAGUCUCAGUUUCUCUGUCUGUAAAAUGGGGAUAAUGAUACUUGCAUGCCCUGGGUUGUUGGGUCUUCAAAGAGUUAUCUAAUAAUAAUGAAGUAAUUUGGUAGAAAAUAUUGUCAUUAAGGAAAUGGAUGCAUAUAGACCCUCUUCCUUUGUUUUAGCAGAUGACAUCUCCCACUCCUGUGUCCAUCAGCAUCACCAAAAGGGCAAAUUUCCUGACAAGGAAAGCAAAAAUAGCCAGGACUCCCUUCUGGAAUGAAGCAAUUAGGAUCUUAGUAACAAACUACAAAUGUAUAAAUGUUGUUCUGUCUCCAGGAGGAGGCUUGGAAAGGUGACAGAAAUGGAAGCAGAAAACAGGUCCUACUUGCUGAAACUUGCAAAUUUCUUCUCAUUGAUAUUUUUUCCUUCCAGUUGGUGUCUACCACCUGCUAGGAUCACAAACCAUGCAGGAGCUGUCUUGCCACAGACACAUUUCUAUCUUCAGUGCCUUUCUGUAAUGGGCUAUGCAAAUUUAUGAGGAGGAUUCUCUGAGCUUUCCAAGCCAGAGUAAGCAGCAGAAAUCUUCUCUGGGCAAAGUUAUUUGUGUGAAGCAUGCUGUAAAUAUUUGUCUAGCCCAAGAAAAUGACUUAAAUUACAUAAUUAAACUCUUUAUAGACUUGGCUUUCUUAUGCAAUGACUAGGAUGAGGGGAUGGACAACAGCUGUCCUCCAGUUUUUCUGAAGAAGAGCCUGUUGUUUUUUUAAAGAUAGCUUCCCUCCCCUGGUACUGUUAUGCUUUAUUGCAUUUCUAGGGAUAAUGAGAAACCAGGGGAAAAAAUGUCACCUUAAAGGCCAGAGCACUGUAUUUGGAGUCACAGGGCCCAGAUUUGAAUCCCAGCUCUGCUAAUUGCAGCCUGUGUGAACUUAGUACCAGAAACUCAUGAAGAAAACUAUCCACUGAGGCAUAGAAAACGGCCAUCUGUGUUGGGGAGGGAGGCUCGCCACAUGGAUAAAAUUGUGGACUUUCUGAAGAAACGCAGUACUAUUAAGUGGUGACAAAAGUGCUCAGUCCUUUAAAGAACCCAAAGGCAGAGAAAACAAGGCAUCUUCUUUGGAUGAAGUCUUGGUCUUAAAGAAGAGAUGAGAUGAAUAUUUGGAUAACGCUACAAAAUGAUGCAAGUACCAGCAUCCAAGAAUGCACUGCUGACCACAUGCACUGUAGAAGGUUGGGGAGAGUGUGCUGGAAAUAGUCUAGGAGGGCUCCACAGAGGAAGAGUAUAUUCAGAAAUGAACAUGAGUAGGAAUCAACUCAGUAUAUGCAGAUAAAGGUAAAGAAGACUAGUCUGGGAAGAACAAGGGUUUCAUGUGAGAGAGUGCUGAGAGUCAAAAUUGUCUAAUCAAAAUAUGUUAGGAAUGCACUAUGGAGGGUUUUGAGUGCCAGGAAGAGGCGUUCAGAUGUGCCAACUAGAGGCAAUGGGGAGCCACUGAAAGAACAUUUAGAAUUUGAAUCACAAGACCUGGGU